CUAUUUGUUGCCUCGGCGGUGCCUGUUCCGACAGCCCGCCAGAGGACCCCAAACCCUGAUUACAUUUAAGAAGUCUUCUGAGUAAACCGAUUAAAUAAAUCAAAACUUUCAACAACGGAUCUCUUGGUUCUGGCAUCGAUGAAGAACGCAGCGAAAUGCGAUAAGUAAUGUGAAUUGCAGAAUUCAGUGAAUCAUCGAAUCUUUGAACGCACAUUGCGCCCGCUAGUAUUCUGGCGGGCAUGCCUGUCCGAGCGUCAUUUCAACCCUCAAGCCCCCGGGCUUGGUGUUGGGGAUCGGCGAGCCUCCGCGCCCGCCGUCCCCUAAAUCUAGUGGCGGUCUCGCUGUAGCUUCCUCUGCGUAGUAGCACACCUCGCACUGGGAAACAGCGCGGCCACGCCGUUAAACCCCCAACUUCUGAACGUUUGACCUCGGGUCAGGUAGGAAUACCCGCUGAACUUAAGCAUAUCAA
rnacentral:rRNA from 1 species